AACACGGGAUCCUUAACCCACUGAGUGGAGUCAGGAAUCAAACCUGCAUCCUCAUGGAUGCUAGGCAGGUUCAUUACUGCCGAGCCACAAUGGGAACUCCCCAUUGGAAGAUUUUAAGCAGAGGUGUGGUGACCUAAGAUCAUUUGGCUGCUGUGUUGGGGACGGUCUGAAGGGAGCAGAUGAGAAAGCAGAGAAGCUAGUUUUUGUAAACUUUUAUAAAACUCCCAGAGAAUAUAAAAUAGAUAAUCAGCAAGGACCCACUGUGUAGCACAGAGAACUCUACUCAAUAUUCUGUAACAACUUAUACGGGGAACAAAUCUGGAAAAGAAUUGGUAUAUGUAUGUGUAUAACGGAAUCACUUUAUCCUGGAAGCUAACACAACAUUGUCAAUCAACUAUUCUCCAUGUAUGAUAAGCUUACAUUAAAAAAGAAAGGGGGGAAAGCCCCCCCCCCCCAGAUGGACGUGGCCUGGACCAGCUCGGAGCAGCGGACGAGUCCUCCUGGAAUUUGAAGACGGAGCAGACGGACUUGCUGCCAGGUGGGGGCCGAGUGCGAGGCGGAGGUGAGAUGAGGGGGCCUUCGGGCUUUCAGUCUGGCCCCCGGAGCAGCGCGCUGCCCUUAACUUGGCCGGACAGCGUCCCGUCCCGGAGGAAGGCGUUUAGAGAGAUCAGGGCCGGACUGGAGGAGCUGAGGCGCUGCUCAAGGAGACGCCAAGGUCGUUGAAUAGUCAGGUCUGGCCUCGGGGCAGAGGCUGGGCCCUCGCAGCCACCCAGCGGGCAGGGGCCCCGCCAGGGAGGGUCGGGGGGAAGCCGGCCCAGCCUCCGAGGCCGAGGGGCGGACGGCGCCAGAGGGAACCACGUGCGCCUGACUCCUGGAAGCCAAGCGAAGGGAUCGGUUUCAGCAGGAGGCGAGCCCGCGGGAGAGCGUGGCCUGCGGGUCUGGGCGCGUAUUCAGAGAGCCACCCGUUGUUCGUGGCCGUCCAAGGUCUUGGGAGCAGGACUGGAGCGGAUUCGGGAAAGAAGGGAGGGCGGGGCUGGGACAGCUAAGAGGGACCGUAAAAAAGGCGGGAGAGAUGAAAAUAUGGAUGCUGAUGGCCAGUGUUCUUCGCCUUUGCAGGGUGGGCCCUCGCCUUCUCACCACCCCCUUCCUCGGCCUUCAGCUCUGGGUCUUUGCUGUUGCUUGGACCCCUCAUUUGGAGCAGGGUUAAUGGGAAGUCUGAGCGGAUGGGGUGCUGAGGACUGAAAAUCAACUACUUUGGGGAACAAGACACACUUUUAGAUGUGGCCGAGGGUCCUUGGGCUUGGAGGAAUUGCCUCUCUGCCUCGUUUAUUUCGAUGGUUCUUCCCCUUGUAUUUUGGUGUCUAACACCCCCCCCCCCCCGAGAGUCUCCUUCCUCUGUUUCUGUGCAAUGAUGAAUUCUUCACUGAUUCUGUGGAACUGCCGUUUCAGAGGCAUGACCAUGACCAAAGCCUUAACGUCUUAAAAGCCUUAAUGAGGAGUUCCCACUGUGGCACAGUGGACUGGCGGUGUGAUCCCUGUGGCACCAGGACGCGGGUGUGAUCCCCAGUCUGGCACAGUGGGUUAAAGGAUCUGGCGUUGGUGCAGCUGCGGUGUAGGUCACAGCUGUGGCUCUCGGAUCUGAUCCGUAGCCUGGGAAUUCCAUAGGCUGUGGGGCAGCCAAAACAAAAAAGAGAGAGAGAAAAGUGCUUAAAAAAAAAAAAAAGACUUAAUGAGUGAAUUAUAUCUCAAUAAAGAUAUAAUUGACAUCCCGCCUCCAAACCUCCUAAAAUGCGACAGUGUGACUCCCGUGGUGGUGAGUUACCAGGCUGUCCCAAAUGUUUCUCCCAUUCUGGGAACAUGGCGGGAGUGACAGUCUGGAGUAUGGCCACGAGUGACACGGAGUGGGUGUGUGUCUGCGGCCACCAAUGAAGCAAGCGAGGUUUGUCACUCUGGCAGCUUUCAGACCCAUGAACUGUCUCCCACAUUUUCUAGACUGUCGACAAGUGUGGACGCUGCCUUUAAAAGGAAGCCUCUGAAAAAACUAAACAAACAAACAAAACACAAAGAAAUAAAAAGAAAAAAGAAAAAAAAAAAAAAGAAGCCUCUGUCAGCCAGAGUCUGAGUCACAGCGAUGAGCGGAGGCUAACCUGGGGGUAGACGUGGAGCAUGGGAAAUAAGCUUUCGUUUUGUUAGUUUAAUUUUGGGAUAGAAAAACCCGAUCUGUCCUGAUAGAAUGCCUAAGGUCAAAAAUAGGCAGUGAUGUGCCAGUCUCCGUGAGCGCCAAGAGACUGCACGUUUUAGGAUAUGCAAGUUUUACUUCUCCACGCCAGGGGCAAAGAAAACCCAGUAAAUAACCCAGGUAGUAAAACUUGACCCCACUGUCACUUCUUCACUAAAUCAAAACCUAAUGAACCUUGAAAACAUUAACACUGUUUUUGAAAUAUUUCUCUCCUAACCAGGAGGGAAACUUUUUUUCGAGAGACACAGCCGGACCACCAGAAACGUAGCAUGGUGUAUUUCCUAUUUUGUUCUCUGGGCCCUCUGCUUUAGCUGCUCCAGGAAGCUCACUCCAAAUGCAGAUUCUCUGGUCUCGACUGUCACAGUCUGUGCACGCGGGUUGGAAGAAGAAUUUCUGGACUUGUAUUGGGGUGAAAAGAAAGAAGAGCUUAUUGAGCAUGGUGAGGUGGAGAGAGGGUAGAGCUGAAUGAGAUGAGAGGCACUGCAGGUGCAGCAGGACUUCCUGAGGAUCAGAGUGACACGGAGCAGGAAUCGAACUGGACUAUAGGACCCCAGUUGGUGUCCAGAGAAUCAGAGAAUUGGCUGUUACUGUUGGAAAGUACUCCGGGAAUGUGCUAUGGCACUGAAGGUCCUUUCCAACAUAUACCAUCGGAUUGAGCGCACACUCUUCAGGAGGCGUGAAGACGUGUCCGUGUAAGAGACAAGAAAAUCAUCUGCAUAAAAGAUUUUUAUUUAGUGGUCGGGUCCCAAUGAGUAAUGCCAGUCAUUGCUUGAUUCUGUUAAAAGGUGCUAUUCGAUACAGUCUUAAGAAAGUGUACAGUGCAUCACCAAAAGCUAUUUAACUUGGAUUGUGUAGAGUAAAAGAAAACUUCAUACAUCUUUGUUCUCUGAUAAAAUUUUUAAAAUACAAAAAUGAAAAAAAA